rnacentral:misc_RNA from 1 species
UCACAGUGACACUUAUAACCACUUUGUCACCUGCCUACCUAGCCUGAGUCGAUGCUUCUCCCUGUUCACCUAGCCUGUGUCGCCCCACCAUUGUUGCUGCUUCUCACCAUUUUUUCUUGUUGUAGUCAUCUUGCUGUGCAGAUUUGAGUGACAAUGCCAGAUCCCCUUGUGCUAAUCUCAUAGAGUCUGUUUAAAUCUGAGUGACAUCACCAGGUUUCUCAUCUCUAUCAUCUUCCUUAUAUUUGUUCAUGUUUUGGUGAAGAUUCUCUCUGGAUCAUGGCAAAGAGAUGUUGGUUCUUUUGAGAUGUUAAUUGUAGAAUUAUUCUCCUACUGUUGUUCUCAUUUUGGAUUGUGUUUUAAUGCCUCUUAGAUAUGCUAUUCUGGUUCAUUAAGCUAAAAAUAAUUGGGUUUUCUUUCUUGAAAAAGUUCAUUUUGCUGAAAAAAAAAAGGAUUUUAUUUCUUGAAAAAUUUUCAUGAUAACGAAGUGAAUGAGGCUGCUAAAUACAAGAGGGUAUAAGAUACUUUGCUAAAUAGGUAAUUCGGUUCUGUUCAGUUUAGGAAUGCCUCCCCCUCUUCUCGACCUACUGACCUGUUUUAGUGCCUUUGUAACUUAAGCUCUAGUUUGUGUUAUGGUUGUGGAACCAGGUUGAUGGCAUGAGCCAUUGAUGCAAGGGGUUUUCUAAUCAAGGAAAUGGGAGCUGUGGAAUUUUGUUGUUUAUUGGUUUUGGUAGGAUUUGGUCUCUGUUUAGAUCUGUUGUCAGCUUGCACCUUCAUACUUAAGCAAGUAGUGGUUGACAAAUGACAACUAGGUUUUUGAGGACCGUUUAGUUCUCUUUUGAAUGAGGGAAGAAACAAAUAAAUUGCUAAUGUCAUAGAGGUUUUACUAAUUUACGUCUUGAUUUUGAUAUUACUACAGCAAAUCAAUUAAUACUUGUGCAGAACUUUUUUUACUGUUUCUUUGUUGGAAUGCUUUGGUUUGGUGACAGUACAAUUACUGCAUUUUUAUUGCAGAUUGUUAGCCAAUACAUAACAG